UGCUUUGUGUUAAAGUCACAGCUACUUUUUUGAAAACAAAAAAUUGUAGGUGCAAGUAAUACAAAUAUUCACACCCAAAAUUCUACGAUGCAUCCUGCAACUACAACUGAUACAACUUUAUCAAAUCUUGUGACUGAUUCAUCAGUAACUUCUAGUGGUACAAUUUCCAAUUUCCUAAACCAUGUAAAUACGACUGACUCAUCUACAUCCAAUUUUAUGACAGUUACACCAUUAAUUUCUACUGGUGCGAGUAAAUCAAAUAUUCACACUCAAAAUUCUAUGAUGAAUCCUGCAACUACAACUGACACAAUUUUAUCAAAUUUUGUGACUGAUACAUCAGCAAUUUCUAGCGGUAAAAAUU